rnacentral:rRNA from 1 species
CCUACGGGAGGCAGCAGUGGGGAAUAUUGCACAAUGGGGGCAACCCUGAUGCAGCGACGCCGCGUGAAGGAAGAAGGAUUUCGGCAUGUAAACUUCUAUCAGCAGGGAAGAAAAUGACGGUACCUGACUCAGAAGCCACGUCUAACUACGUGCCAGCAGCCGCGGUAAUACGUCGGGGGCAAGCGUUAUCCGGAUUUACUGGGUGUAAAGGGAGCGUAGGCGGUUUAGCAAGUCAGAAGUGAAAGCCCGGGGCUCAACUCCGGGACUGCUUUUGAAACUGUUGAACUAGAGUGCAGGAGAGGUAAGUGGAAUUCGUAGUGUAGCGGUGAAAUGCGUAGAUAUUAGGAAGAACACCAGUGGCGAAGGCGGCUUACUGAACUGUAAAUGACGCUGAGGCUCGAAAGCGUGGGGAGCAAACAGGAUUAGAUACCCCAGUAGUC